rnacentral:rRNA from 1 species
CCUACGGGGCGCAUCAGUAUGUCAUCUUCCACAAUUUACUCCCUUCUGAUGGAGCAACGCCGCGUGAGUGAAGAAGGGUUUCGGCUCGUAAAGCUCUGUUGGUAGUGAAGAAAGAUAGAGGUAGUAACUGGCCUUUAUUUGACGGUAAUUACUUAGAAAGUCACGGCUAACUACGUGCCAGCAGCCGCGGUAAUACGUAGGUGGCAAGCGUUGUCCGGAUUUAUUGGGCGUAAAGCGAGUGCAGGCGGUUCCAUAAGUCUGAUGUGGAA